rnacentral:lncRNA from 1 species
AAGAGGUGCUUCUGAUCUGUCCAGUGAAGAGGGUUGGAGACUGUUCAAGAUCGACAAGGAGUACUUGCUAAAAAUGGCAACAGAGGAGUGAGGAGUGCUGCUGUAGAUGACAACCUCCAUUCUAUUUUAGAAUAAAUUCCCAACUUCUCUUGCUUUCUAUGCUGUUUGUAGUGAAAUAAUAGAAUGAGCACCCAUUCCAAAGCUUUAUUACCAGUGGCGUUGUUGCAUGUUUGAAAUGAGGUCUGUUUAAAGUGGCAAUCUCAGAUGCAGUUUGGAGAGUCAGAUCUUUCUCCUUGAAUAUCUUUCGAUAAACAACAAGGUGGUGUGAUCUUAAUAUAUUUGAAAAAAACUUCAUUCUCGUGAGUCAUUUAAAUGUGUACAAUGUACACACUGGUACUUAGAGUUUCUGUUUGAUUCUUUUUUAAUAAACUACUCUUUGAUUUAA